rnacentral:lncRNA from 1 species
ACAGGAACUUUUCUGCAAUUCAACAGAACAGACUCUGCUGCAGGAACUUCUUUUAUUUUAAGGAUAAAUUUUCUAACAGUGUAGCAGCUCCUUGCAUUCCCUGAAAGCUGCCCAGCAAAUGGGAUUCGAUCGAAGAGAUUCACCAUUAGGGGUACGAGAGAGUUCUGGCUUACUCAAACGCGAUACUCCGACUAGUGGGAACAUGCAUUUUAAAUACUGCCCUCAUCUUCGGGCCGAAAACAGUAUACCAGUAGCGUAUACGUAGCGAAUAAUGAGCGAGAGAGAAGUCAAUCUUCCGCCUGAACUCGUCCGUCUGCGAUCAAGAUGGACGUUCCGUAUAUAGAUCCUGCUUUCGGGACGUCCGCUCCCAGAUAAGCAACACUCUCGGCUUAUACCCAUCAGUAAAGAAGUCUCGAACUUUAUCGGUUUGCCGCUCAAGACUUUGAGGAUUUUUUGUGCAUCCCUUCGGCCCCGGACGUUGCUUUCCGUGUCGGGGAUGCGGGAGCGAGGAAGACUAGAUCGGGCCGUAACCCUCGCCGCGGCACUGGUUACCACUCAGCCGACUAUCAGCUUACAGUUGCAGCGCUGGACGUGGCCGCCCGGAGCGGUAUGGUUUUCGCGAUGUACUAGGGGUAUCUGAUAUCCGCUCGUAGUGAAGCUGAGCGGCUUGGACUGAGUCUCUACCAAUGACAAGAACUUAUUGCUAGAGUCACAAAAUCGCUGAUCUCCAGUAUGAGCAAGCAGCAAUCAACACUGCUAUGCACAAGGGCAAGGAGGGCUAAAGACUAGAUGCUCUCAAGAUGAUUGAGAAAGGGGCAGCUACUGAGCUGGACUUCUCAUUCUCAAUAAGCUUCCUUGCGAAG